rnacentral:rRNA from 1 species
AUUGAACGCUGGCGGCAGGCCUAACACAUGCAAGUCGAGCGGAUGAGUGGAGCUUGCUCCAUGAUUCAGCGGUGGACGGGUGAGUAAUGCCUAGGAAUCUGCCUGGUAGUGGGGGACAACGUUCCGAAAGGAGCGCUAAUACCGCAUACGUCCUACGGGAGAAAGUGGGGGAUCUUCGGACCUCACGCUAUCAGAUGAGCCUAGGUCGGAUUAGCUAGUAGGUGGGGUAAUGGCUCACCUAGGCGACGAUCCGUAACUGGUCUGAGAGGAUGAUCAGUCACACUGGAACUGAGACACGGUCCAGACUCCUACGGGAGGCAGCAGUGGGGAAUAUUGGACAAUGGGCGAAAGCCUGAUCCAGCCAUGCCGCGUGUGUGAAGAAGGUCUUCGGAUUGUAAAGCACUUUAAGUUGGGAGGAAGGGCAGUAAGUUAAUACCUUGCUGUUUUGACGUUACCAACAGAAUAAGCACCGGCUAACUUCGUGCC